GGCCGGGUGGUCUAGUGGUCGGGACGUCAGCUGCGUAAGCAGAAGACGCGGGUUCGAUUCCCGCCUCGGCCA